rnacentral:rRNA from 1 species
UAGGAGAAGGUAUUCCGAUCGCCAGUUUACUGGCCCAAAACAAGGUGCUGCAUGGCUGUCGUCCCCUCGUGUCGUGAGAUGUUGGGUUAAGUCCCGCAACGAGCGCAACCCUUAUUGAUAGUUGCUAACAUUAAGUUGAGAACUCUAUCAAGACUGCUGUUGAUAAAACGGAGGAAGGUGGGGACGAUGUCAAGUCAUCAUGGCCUUUAUGCUUAGGGCUACACACGUGCUACAAUGGCCGGUACAAAACGUUACAAACCCGUAAGGGGGAGUUAAUCGCAAAAACCGGUCUCAGUUCGGAUUGAAGUCUGCAACUCGACUUCAUGAAGUUGGAAUCGCUAGUAAUCGCAAAUCAGCAUGUUGCGGUGAAUACGUUCCCGGGUCUUGUACACACCGC